rnacentral:rRNA from 1 species
GAUCCUGGCUCAGAAUCAACGCUGGCGGCGCGCUUAACACAUGCAAGUCGCACGAGAAAGUGGAGCAAUCCAUGAGUACAGUGGCGUACGGGUGAGUAACACGUGGAUCAUCUACCUCUUGGUGGGGAAUAACCCUGGGAAACCGGGGCUAAUACCGCAUAAGCCUGCAAAGGGAAAGCAGCAAUGCGCCGAGAGAGGAGUCCGCGGCCGAUUAGCUUGUUGGUAGGGUAAUGGCCUACCAAGGCAAUGAUCGGUAGCCGGCCUGAGAGGGCACACGGCCACACUGGCACUGAAACACGGGCCAGACUCCUACGGGAGGCAGCAGUGGGGAAUCUUGCACAAUGGGGGAAACCCUGAUGCAGCGACGCCGCGUGAGCGAUGAAGCCCUUCGGGGUGUAAAGCUCUUUCGGCAGGAACGAUUAUGACGGUACCUGCAGAAGAAGCUGCGGCUAACUACGUGCCAGCAGCCGCGGUAAUACGUAGGCAGCAAGCGUUGUUCGGAAUUACUGGGCGUAAAGAGUGUGUAGGCGGUUCUCUAAGUUCCGUGUGAAAUCUCCCGGCUUAACUGGGAGGGUGCGCGGGAAACUGGAGGGCUGGAGUAUGGGAGAGGAAAGCGGAAUUCCUGGUGUAGCGGUGAAAUGCGUAGAUAUCAGGAGGAACACCUGCGGUGUAGACAGCUUUCUGGACCAUCACUGACGCUGAGACACGAAAGCGUGGGUAGCAAACAGGAUUAGAUACCCUGGUAGUCCACGCCCUAAACGAUGCAUACUUGGUGUGAGCCGUUCAGUCGGUUCGUGCCGGAGCUAACGCGUUAAGUAUGCCGCCUGGGGAGUACGGUCGCAAGGCUGAAACUCAUAGGAAUUGACGGGGGCCCGCACAAGCGGUGGAGCAUGUGGUUCAAUUCGACGCAACGCGGAGAACCUUACCUGGGCUCGAACGGCU